AAGCAGGCAACCAGAGCCAGUAGCAGCAACCCGUUUGGGUCCCCUUCCACGCUGUGGAAGCUUUGUUCUUUCGCUCUUCGCAAUAAAUCUUGCUGCUGCUCACCCUUUGGGUCUGCACUACCUUUAUAAGCUGUAACACUCACCGAGAAGGUCUGCAGCUUCACUCCUGAAGCCAGCGAGACCACGAGCCCAGCGGGAGGAAUGAACAACUCCGGAUGCGCCGCCUCUAUGAGCUGUAACACUCACCACGAAGGUCUGCAGCUUCACUCCUGAAGCCAGUGAGACCACAAACCCAUUGGGAGGAAUGAACAGCUCUGGACGUGAUGCCUUUAAGAGCUGUAACACUCACUGUGAAGGUCUGCAGCUUCACUCCUGAAGUCGGCAAGACCACGAACCCACCAGAAGGAAGAAACUCCGGACACAUCUGAACAACUGAAGGAACAAACUCCGGACACACCAUCUUUAAGAACUGUAACACUCACCGUGAGGGUCCAUGGCUUCAUUCUUGAAGUCAGCGAGACCAAGAACCCACCAAUUCCAGGCACACUUGUACUUGGUAGCACAAUAGGUCCCAUGGGAAGAGGUAACCUCAGGAAACUCUGGGCUGCUGGAGAAGAGUUUUGUGAGUUAUCUAAUAACCUGGUUGUCAGCCACAUGGCACAACAAAGCUGUCCAGACAUUUAGGUUCCUCGGAUGCCAUGAGAUAAAAAUUUGCACUUAUGCCUGCAUCUACUUUUCCCUUUCUAACAGAGUAACAUGCACAUUUGGCUAUUUGUUGGACUGAUUUGCACGGCCAUAGUUUCCUAGAAGGAUUUUAAAACAGACUGGGCUGCCUACACUGCAGAUAAACAGUUUGGAAGCUGUACAUUAAAAUGAACUUAGAGGUCUCUAGUUGGAUUUUGGUGAAGUGUUUGCAACACCAUUUACCUAUCUGGAUAAUUCUGUCAUGUACAAAGUACUCUCCAAUAAUUCAGAUGUCCAAUAAUGCAGAUCCUGUAUUACCCAUAUGCUGUUAGCCCUUUCAAUCCUUUGUGCAGGCUUACCUAGAAAUAAAGGAAAAAAUGUUCUUCCCACCUUGCUUGAUAAGAUAACAACAAUGUGUUUGGUUUUUAAUGUAACUGGAAAAAAAAAAAGAUGGAAGAAAAAAAGGCCAAUUCCAACAUCUGGAUGAAAUUUAUUACAUACCUCUCUGGGACCCCCUGGUUCCUGAAUGAUUUGGCUUAUUAUCCCUUUUCCAAGUCUUCAGAGACUCAAUGACUCGAAUGUCAGGGAAUGAUACUUUGCUGCCGGAUACUACAAAGUUGGUUUAAAGAGGUUGUAGAAAUGCUGUAGCUGUAACCAAGCUCCUCACAGGGGGAGGUGGGGCAGCACAUGCCAUGUAAGCAUGCUCACAUAUUUCUGUGUGGAUACCCAGUUGGAAAGUUAUUUGCCACUUCUGGAGAAGCUGGAAGUUGUCGACUAUACAGAUAGAUAAAGAGAGGGGUUGGUUAAUGGGUACAAAAAUACAGUUAGAUACAAGGAAUAAGAUCUAGUGUUGGGUAGCACAAAAGGGCAACUAUAGUUAACAAUAAUUUAUUACAUAUUUCAAAAUAAAAGCGUAGAGUUGGAGUAUUCCUAACACAAUGAUAAACGCUUGAGGUGAUGGAUAUCCCAAUUAUCCUGAGUUGAUCAUUAUAUAUUUUAUGCAUGUAUGAAAAUAUCACAUGCACCUUAUAAAAUGUGCAACUAUUAUGUAUCCAUAAAAUUUUUUUAAAUGUUUUAAAGCUUGGGGGAUCCAAGUUUGCUGCUUACUUCCAAUCUGAUGCAUCACCAAUCUGAGGCAGGCCCCAAACUUUGGCAACAAGGUAUGAGGUAAGCACCACUUUAGUGCAGGGAGGGUAACCUGGUUGAGAAAUUGACUGAUUUUCUGUAGUGUCUGCCAUUUCUGUUCUUCACAAAAGAAUAGACCAUUCCUAUCUUCCUCCACACUCCCAAUCCCAAAGGGUAACCAGGGCUUUUUGUUCUGGAGAUCAGGCUUUCUCUCAUCUCAGGAAAAAAAAAAAAAGAAGAAGAAAAAAAAGGAAAGGAAAAAGAGAAAGAAACAAAGAAAAGAAAUUGAGCUGCGUGUGGUGGCUCAUGUCUAUAAUCUCAGGAGGUUGAGGCAGGAGGAGCACUUGAGCCUAGGAGUGAGCUAUGAUCACACCACUGCACUCCAGCUUCGGCAAGAGAGCGAGACGCUGUUUCAAAAAAGAAAGAGGCCAGGAGCAGUGGCUCAUGCCUGUAAUCCCAGCACUUUGGGAGGCCAAGGUGGGUGGAUCACCUAAGGUCGGGGGCUUGAGACCAGCCAACAUGGAGAAACUCCGUCUCUACUAAAAAUACAAAAUUACCUGGGCUUGGUGGCUCAUGCCUGUAAUCCCAGCAACUUGGGAGGCUGAGGCAGAAGAAUCACUUGAAUCUGGGAGGCAGAGGUUGUGGUGAGCCGAGAUCGGGCCAUUGCACCAUGGGCAACAAGAGCGAAACUCCAUCUCCAAAAAAGAAAAAAAAAGAAAGAAAUCAGGCCAGGCACAGUGGCUCACGCCUGUAAUCCCAACACUCUGGGAGGCCGAGGCAGGUGGAUUACCUGAGGUCAGGGAUUUGAGACCAGCCUGGCCAACAUGGUGAAACCCCGUCUCUAUUAAAAAUAGAAAAAAUUAGCUGGGCAUGGUGGUGGGCACCUGUAAUCCCAGCUACUCAGGAGGCUGAAGCAGGAGAAUCGUUUGAACCUGGGAGGCAGAGGUUGCAGUGAGCUGAGAUUGUGCCAUUGCUCUCCAGCCUGGAUAGCAAGAGUGAAACUCUGUCAAAAAAAAAAAAAAAAAAGAGAGAGAGAGAGGAAGGAAGGAAAGAAAGAGGGAGGGAAGGAAGGGAGGGAAGGAAAUAAAGCGAAGAAAGAAAUCAACAAGCUUUUGUUUUAAAAAAUUAACCCAGUCUUAGAGGCAAUAAAACUGUUUUGUCUGAGAGGAGGAAGGAUUUGUAGAAUUAGAAGAGGGCAGAGGAGAAUUUCCUGAGCCUGGCUUUGAGGCAUGGUGCUGAGGAGCACUGCAGCCUCCUUUUGUGGCCAGGUCCUGCUCCAGGCCUCCCACAGACCGCUGGGACCAGAGGGCCUUCAAUGGGGAUGACAGUGUGCUCAGGGAGGUAAGCAAAGGCACUGCUGAUCCCGAGCCUCAGCAGAGGUCUUCAUGCCAUAGAGAAACCUGGAGAAAGGGUCGUAGAAUUGUUUUGGGCAAAGAGCGCCAGGGGUGACAGGCACCCUCAUCUAAGAGACAUCUUCCCCCCAGUAUGUGUAAGCUCCUGAUAAAGGACCAAGAUUGGAUUUGCUACUCAUUGUUGGAUGGAAGCCAAGGGUAUUUAAUUUAGAAAAUUAAAGAAAUGUGACAUUUCCACCACCUGUAUGUCAGGGAACAAAGUAAUACCUGUUUAACACCAGGCUCCACACUUUCCUUUAAAGUCUUUUAGGUUUCCUGGCUCAAAGAAGCCUCCAGCUUGAUUUGUUGAACUGUGCCUCUCAGGAGCUGAAGGCAGGCAGUGUUCCAGGAUAUGUGCAUAUGGGGGUGCAUGCUGCUCUGUGAAGGAGCUUUGCACUUGGGCCCCAUUCCAGUCCCUCCCUUACCAAUUCAAUAGGAGCCUGAGUCAAUGGUGGACUCAGACAAAGACAUUCCCUGAAAAAGAGAGGAAAGGAAGCUGGGCAGAAGUUGCAUGCAGGACUGGGAUUGCUCAGGAUUGGGGCUCCUGAAGCCUUGCUGCGAAACACAUCCUCAAGUCUGCACUGCCUCCCGGUGGCCACACCAGAGCUCAGCUCUGCACUUGGUAUGGAGAAAAGACUGCAUGGGAUGUGUGUGUUUCUUCCGGCUGGAGCUCUUUGGAGACUCAUCAGAAACCUUGAUGAGAUACAGAAUUCCGAAGGAAGAGGAAGCCUUAGUGAGGAAGGGGGUGAGUUCUGUUUACUCUGAAGUAUCUGUGGAAUACACUGAAAUAUAGAUAUCUAGGAAUCUGUCAAAAUAAAAAUCUAAAGGUCAGGAGAGAGAUCUAAACUAGACAUGCAGAUAGGAGUGUUAUUAUCAUAUACGUAGUAAUUAAAACCAGGGGAACAGAUGAGAUCACCCAGGGAAAAUGGGAAUAGUGACAAGGGCUGAGUUCCAAGGACUACACUCUAGAGUGGGCGGAAAGGUUUGGUGAUAUCAUCUUAUGUAUUUUUCUGGGGCUUUGGAAUUUCUCAACUCAUUAUCAUACUCAUUAUCUUUCAUACUCAUUAUCUUAAUUCUCAUCUGGGAGGUUCUAUAAAAUACCUGGUAAAACGAGGUGUGACUGGGAUGAUGCCAACACUGCAAGAAAUCCAAUCUAUCGGACAGGCAGGAGGUGGGGCCUGGACACAGUGUCACAAGGGAUAGUGAUUCCCAAUGGUAGGCUUGAAGCCCCAGGUUAGCAUCACACGGAAUGACUCCUAAGAGCACUUGAAGCUCUUGCCUAGGCUAUUGGUGAAGAGCAUAGCUGGUCCAUGGCGCUGGGUUAGAAAGGCUGUUGCGGGACAGUGGCCAACCUGACAAAAGCUCUGCAGCGGGAGCUUAUCUCCAGAAGCAGAUGCAGCCUGCCUGCCUCUGCAUGUCCUACAGGCAGCAGUCCACCGGACCGAGCUGAGGAAUGGUCUUCCCAACUGGGAAGACAGGCAUCCUUUCCAGAGACAGAAAUAUGGCAACCAGAGUACUUGCUCCUUUCUGAGUGACUGGGGUUGGUGGGAGACAUGAAGCCUGACCUGGCCCUACAAGGAGGUCUGUAAGGCAGAGGGGUAGAAUGCAAGGCAGAGAUAAAUGCAAUGAGGUGACUCCUUUGGUAGAGUCCCCACUUCCUUCAGUUGGUCUCACCUACUCUGAACGUACUUCCUCCCAUAGUAUUUCAGAGUUUCCCUGUGUUAUAAUGUGUUAUUGUGCACCUAUUCACAUGCUCCCUUGAGUUCCUCAGGCUGUUCAUCCGUGUGGCUUCUCCAGGGUUUGCCUA
rnacentral:lncRNA from 1 species